AUCACUUCUCAGCCUUUUGGCUAAGACCAAGUGUAGUGUCUAUUCUUAUCAGUUCAAUAUGUGACAUAUCCUCUACCUGAGGACAAUACCUUAAGUGAAUUUUUGAAACAGGGAGUUGGAAUAGGAACUUGCUCUGUCCACUCCACGCCUCAACCUGGUAUUGUAGUACUUUCAGUGUACCCCCU
ensembl:snRNA U2 U2 spliceosomal RNA